AUGCAGAUCACCAUCACGAGUACAAAGGAGAAAACCCAAGACAUCCAAGCCAAUGAGGAACUAGAGACUGUUAUACCUGGCAAAGAAACAGUCGAUGCAGGCACAAAUAACCCAGUCAUCAACACAGAGGAAACAAACAAGUACAUUGAUCUGGAAGAUCAAGAAGCAGUGCAACCAAAGGAAACUAGAAAACACACAGAACUUCAAACAACAACAUCUGAAGAGGAAGAGGAAGCAAGCAAAAGAACUCGCAUAAACAUUGAACAAGAAAAAGUAGAGGACAUAACGAGACAAGGAGAAGCCGUAGUUCCAGCAGGAGACAGUCCUGCAAAUCCAGAGAAAGAGGCACAAUAA
rnacentral:rRNA from 1 species